UUUGUCUUGAUACAACAGUUUGCACAGUCUUUUUGAAGCCUGUGAAGCAACUUCCCCAAAAAUCCAGCCACCCAUGGAAAGGACAAGCAGGUGAUGGCCAUCCCUAUUUGCUAUUAUUAAGCUGUCUUCUUCAAUUGUACCCCAACAAUGCUGUCAGGUGGACUUCCAGAAGUUAGAGCCAAAAAUGAUGAAGUAAUGGUGAUAUAUUGGACUUCCAAAUCAAAACUGAGUGCAACUUGGAAGAGGAAUCUGCAAGUGCUGGUGUUCUAUAGCCCUUCUCUCUUUGGAUAGUAAGUUCAAAGCUGCAUUCAAAGUAACCAAGGGUGGAUGGGGUUCUUUUGAAGACUCUGAUCUGGAGUUACAAUCAGACUUGGAUUCUUUGUGGUGGUGGGACCCACUCCCGGGGACUCAUAACCCCGAGAGCUUUUCAAUAUCCCCAGGGAGCAGCCCAGAAGACGAGUGUGCCUUCGGUGUUCUGAGAGUUCCCUGCCCUGUGGACAGGGCUGAUUCUAAGCCGGUGCUGCCAACUGAAGCAUCGUGGGAGAGAAUGGAACAUCGGGACUAGCUGUUGGAGGCUGUGUACUCGGCGAGUCGCACUCUCUCUCGUCAGUGGGUGAGAGAUUGUUGCUGAUUUUCCAGUCACAGAACUUGGGGGGGGGGGAAGGUGCUGCGACAGACUUUUAACACCGUAAAGCAGCGAGUUGUUUUGUUAUGUCUCCCCUCUCUUUUUCCCUUUAUUAGGGAAAGAGAGAGAAAGCCUGUGGAAUGUUGAGUUGUCGAUUGAACAAUUUUUGUGUUGUACUGCAGAUCAUGGUCUU